rnacentral:tRNA from 1 species
CCUUCGAUAGCUCAGUUGGUAGAGCGGUGGACUGUAGAUGGUUGAGGUUGUGGAAAUCCAUAGGUCGCUGGUUCAAAUCCGGCUCGAAGGA